rnacentral:rRNA from 1 species
CUAGCAUAUCAAUAAGCGGAGGAAAAGAAACCAACAGGGAUUGCCCUAGUAACGGCGAGUGAAGCGGCAAUAGCUCAAAUUUGAAAUCUGGCUCUUUCAGAGUCCGAGUUGUAAUUUGCAGAGGGCGCUUUGGCAUUGGCAGCGGUCCAAGUUCUUUGGAACAGGACGUCACAGAGGGUGAGAAUCCCGUACGUGGUCGCUAGCCUUUGCCGUGUAAAGCCCCUUCGACGAGUCGAGUUGUUUGGGAAUGCAGCUCUAAAUGGGAGGUAAAUUUCUUCUAAAGCUAAAUACUGGCCAGAGACCGAUAGCGCACAAGUAGAGUGAUCGAAAGAUGAAAAGCACUUUGGAAAGAGAGUCAAAUAGCACGUGAAAUUGUUGAAAGGGAAGCGCUUGCAGCCAGACUUGCCUGUAGUUGCUUAUCUGGACUUUUGUCCAGUGCACUCUUCUGCGGGCAGGCCAGCAUCAGUUUGGGCGGUUGGAUAAAGGUCUCUGUCAUGUACCUCUCUUCGGGGAGGCCUUAUAGGGGAGACGACAUGCAACCAGCCUGGACUGAGGUCCGCGCAUCUGCUAGGAUGCUGGCGUAAUGGCUGUAAGCGGCCCGUCUUGAAACACGGACCAAGGAGUCUAACAUCUAUGCGAGUGUUUGGGUGUCAAGCCCAGACGCGUAAUGAAAGUGAACGGAGGUGGGAACCUUUUAGGUGCACCAUCGACCGAUCCUGAUGUCUUCGGAAGGAUUUGAGUAAGAGCAUGGCUGUUGGGACCCGAAAGAUGGUGAACUAUGCUUGAAUAGGGUGAAGCCAGAGGAAACUCUGGUGGAGGCUCGCAGCGGUUCUGACGUGCAAAUCGAUCGUCAAAUUUGGGCAUAGGGGCGAAAGACUAAUCGAACUAUCUAGUAGCUGGUUCCUGCCGAGUCCCCC